CUUUACAGACAGGGUAGUGGACGCAUGGAAUAGCCUUCCAGAUGAAGUGAUAGAGGUUAACACAGUGAGGGAGAAGGCUAUUUUAGACUUAAGAUAAGGCCAAGGACUAAUGAAAGUAUUUAGAAAAUUCUUAUCUCAAGUCACAGUCAAUCUUUCUAUGAGAGCUUCAGCUGACCACUAUCAGAGAAUGAGUGCAAUUCAGUGCAUAUAGGAACAUACACAGAAUUAACAUUAGCCAUCUCGGGACUCUUGUUCCAGGCUGGCUAAUGACGCCCCUAUGAUGCUGCCAAAGGCGGAGUUUAAUGUCAGUCAGCAAAGGGGGGAAAAAAUUGUGCACGUAGUUUUUAAAAAACUGAAACGCAGCACAUAAGAACUGGCAUUCUGACCCCUCCUAUUCACAGAGGUGGGCAUGGUGCUUGGAAUUACCCCUCAACUUUCAGUGUUCUGUCUGUCCAUCUUUAGAAGCGAAAGCUGGACCACUUAUGGUUUGUUUUACCUCUCUACAUAGAGAAAAUUAUUUAUUUUUUCCAUUAAUAUUUAAUAGAGAAUUUUUCAGUUGUAGUAGAAUGGGCAAUGCAAAAUGAACAUAUCCAGAUUGAUUUACUUGUCAACUCCUCGUAUCAGAAUUUACCUCCAGACCCAGAAAACCCAAUACUUUUUGAGGUUGUAGGAGAAUUUCUCAAAACUUGUUAUCUAGCCAUAUAGCUGAAAUGAAUGUUUAGUUCCAGUUACCUUACAGAACUUACCUUUAAAGGGUUAUGGGUUACCUAUUGCCCUUUUCUUUCAUGUGCCCUACAUAAAAAGGGACACUACCUCUUACCUGGGGUUUGUCAGACACUGCCUCUUGCGGUUUGAGACACCUGGCACUCCAGCAAGGAGCUUCCAUUAGCCCUCCUGAAUAAAGCCUUGCAGGCCAGCUCCUU